rnacentral:lncRNA from 1 species
CAUUGAAAUACUUAGUUUUAUUCUUUCAUUUUGAACAAAAACAAACUUCCUCACUCUGAAUACAAUUUACAGAAAUUUUAGAAUAACUAAUGCUCAAAGAUUUCUGUUAUUGAAAAAUGGGGCAUGAAUGUCAUAGGUUCAUGUAAAUCUUUGAACCUAUUAUUCCAGAAUCCAUUCAUCUGGAAAAGUUGUAGCUCUCCUCAGAUUAUUUUCAAAAAUUAACUCUAAAAAACCCGCAAAUAAAAUGAACACAUCUUUUAGCUAACAUAACUUCCAAAACAAUAGAACAAUGCCAACAUUUGGAUUUUGGAGGAAUUGCGUGAUGUGUGUGUGUGUGUGUGGCCACUCCUGUGGCAUAUGGAAGCUCCUGGGCUAGGGAUCAAACUUGUGCCAUAGCAGUAACCCAAGUUGCUGCAGUGACCAUACUGGAAUCUUAACCAUAGAAUAAUUGGGUUUUUUUAUUGUGUGUUGGUUUUUUUGGAACUGUGUGAUUUUUAAAGGGGGUGACUUGUCUAUACACAUUUAUUUUGUUUAGGAUGGUAUCUAAAUACUUUUUAACCAAUUGACCUCACAUCAAUGGCCAGCAGGAAGGCAUUCUGUGGAGCAAGGAAGAGAGCCAACCUGGAAUUCGAAAGUCGCCCAGGCUCAUAUACCAGUAGAAUAAUGAAUGUAUUACAGCACAAAGUUAACUGUAAAGAGCAUUGCUGUAUGCAUUUUCCCCUUCCAUAUGCUAUAAGGCAUAAUGCAAAUUAUUGGUAGGCUGGGGGGGAGGAAGAGAGCGAGAAAGAGGUGUGAUUUGGGUGGCUCUUUGUUUUCUUUCUCAAUUCUCCAAAGUGGCCAGUGUUGGUCUCUCAACCAAGCCUGAACUAUCAGCCGCCUUCAGCCAUUAUGCUGUCUCUGGAUUUAUGGCAGACACGUAAAAGUACUGAUUUACAGUAAGCAACUGAAAACUGGCUCUACAGGAAAGACAGUUCUGGGAAGACUGUAUCUUUUGCUUGUCUCUGCCCUUUCAUAGACCUCAAACAGGUUUAAAUUACUGGUGUAGACUCUAUCUGCUUUCAGUAAAGGGGGUCUCUCCCCACUGCCCUGCGUAAAUCUGCUACAGAUCUUUCCUCAAGUGCUUAUGAUAACAUUAUUUCUGUCUUCAGGCCUGAGAAUCAGGAUGAAUUAUCCUCUAUUUACAGCUUAUCAUAGUUCAGAAAUUUAACAGAUCCAAGUAUUACAGAAUUUAUAACCCAGGAAAUGAUUUGGCAUGUAAUGUGCUAUGUGGGAUUAUAUAAUUUUUUUUUUUAAACUAUGCUUUAGGAAAUAUGCUCCCUGUUCAUUUCAUCAUGGUGGUGUGUGUCUCAGUUUGUUCAUUUACUUUUUACUAUUGUUUCAGCUGUGUUUCUCUGUCUCCUCCUCCUUUCAGGCCAUUUUAAUGUGUCAUUUCUAAAAGCCAAAAGAGAAUGACAGAGAAAGAGAGAGGGAAAAUUUAAAUAAAUUAAUAGAAUUUAAGCUAUGACACUGAAAGUGAAUGAAUGAGCUGAAUAGAAGCUUCUACACAUUUGUUAUAUUUAAAACAGUACACCUUGCAAUAUCUGGUCUUUGCCUAUUAAUGCUUGCCUCCCUAAUUUUUUAAGAAAAAUUCCAAUUAUACCUGAAGUUUCUAAAAAGUCAAAACUCAAAAAUUAAUUUCAUAGAUAACUUUUUCAAGAUGACCUAUUGCACAAAGUGUAAUAAAAACGCCGACACGAUUUUUUUGUCGGGGAUUUGGCCUGUGGUUCACAUUUAAAAGUCAGACAUUUAUUUUAUGGAGUUGCUCAUCAAAUUAAGUUUUAUAGCGUUAAACUGUUAUUGGCCAAAAAACAUGUGUUACUAAAAUGCAAAUCUUGUUCUCUAGCAAGAAAUCCAACCAUGAAUGGUUGGAUUGACUUGUAUCAUUUUAAAUUUCAGGAUUCCCAGAAAAGUAUGGAUUAAGUGGAACUGUACAGGACUGGGAUUCCUCCAGAGGGAAACAAUGGUAUAUUUUUCUAAUAGUUUAGAGUCUGUACUUUUUGCACCUUUUCCCCACUGUGGGAGAGGAAAAAAAGAAAGAUUAUUGGUUCUCAAACUCUGCCAAGUAGCCCUGUAUCUUGCUAAGUCUGUUGGGCAGAGGUAAACAGACCCUACUUUGAAGAUCCUACCCCUUAUAAGGAGUCUGACUUACCUUCCAUGAUUCCAAAUGGAUGCUCAAUAAAAAUAAGCCUUCUGUAUUAUACCUCUGAAAUCCGUCUUAUUUAUUUACAAUUUGCAUGCUGACAACUUUCCAAAGAUAACUUAAAAGUAUCAUUUGUACAGUAAGGUUAUGACACUUAAAAAAAAAGGCAGAGUAAAAAAUUUUUUCAUGUUAAAAAAACAAAAAGGGCAGAGGAAAUGGAACUGCAACCAGGGAUCAGGGGCAAGAUGGUUAUAAAAAUUUAAUAUUAAAUUUAGCUCUGACAUUCAUAUCCUAUUACAUUGUUAUGUAGUUUCUCCUUUGCUUCAGAUUUUUAUAUAUUUAUGUCAUUUCUUUCCCAACUAAAUUUAAACCCCAAGCAGAGAGGCUAUCUCAUACUUUUUUGUUGUCUUCCAUUAGCCUUUUUAAACACAAUAACUACUCCAGAAACAUUUUGAUUGAUUCUGACAAUGUGGGAAUAGUCCAUGCAUUGUCAUAAAUUUUAAAAAUCCUUUACAUAAUUGAGGGACUACAAACUUGCUUCCUUAAAUAUCUAUUUAAUUUAUAUUUCCCGGCUACUCUACUCACCUCUCAAAAUGGAUCCCAGUGAUGACUGUUGUAUCUAAAAAACAAGGCUCUUAACUUUUGAUGCAUCAGUGUCUCUCCUAGGACAUCACUGGGGCUGUUAUUCUACCUGUGGGUGCUUUUUGUAAAAACUUUUGUUUGAGCUGUGACUGUCCUACGUGCCAUAGAACUGAGUUUCUAAACGUUUUGUGUAGAACCUGAAUGUUCCAAAUUUCUCAUGAACUUAUUAUGUAAUAUGCUGUCACUAUCACUGACUCUUUUUGUCCAGAAAUCUGUUACUUUCCUUAUUUUAAACUUUUAGUAGGUGAGAAACAACUUUGAGAAUGCAAGUGUUUAUUUUCCCAAGCUUUUCCUGCACUUGUUGGCAAAGCGCCUGCUUCUUUUCACCUGUUUUUAUAAUAUACACUCUUACAUUAUUAUAUACACAUUAUAUACAUAAUUAUAGACAUACAAUCAUAUAUGCUAUAUAUAUAGUAUAUACACUAUCUUCCUUCAUCGAGAACGUUUGUAAAAUUCCCCUAAGUCGAAACAGGUCAGUAGUGAGGUUCUCUGCUCUUUCUACUGACAGACUAAAGAUCUAGAAUUCACCAGCCACCCAGAUCCAACAACAGAUUUCACGGAACACAAAACUCUAGUUGCCUCAGGAUGGCCUUGACCUCGGUUAUCAAUCAUAAGGGCACACAAAAACAUUGAGGAAAGAGCAGAGAACCUCACUACUGUUUCUAACAGGAUAUUCCAACAGUAUUUCAGCUCCAGGAAUUUUGCGUGCUCCUGUUUUGACUUCAUUAGAAAUUCAAUAUGUCUGAUUUGCCCACACAACACUUUUUCAACUUACUUUAUCCAUCUGACCUGGAACAAAGUGAAAGCACAUUUUGCCCAGUUGAAGAGUCUUCUGGCAAGUUGGGUCGCAAACAGGCUUGCCAGUCCCAGUUCAGUUAACAAAGAAUAAACACAUUUCACUUGACAUUUACUAGUGCACUAACUUCCUCACUCUGCAGUUUUCUAUUUUAUAUUCUCAAACCAUUUUUUUCACUUCUUAUUCAACUUUUUACUUGUGAUUCUUGCCUCCUCAACAAGAUUUCCAGUUUCUUGAGGUUGAGGUUGCUACAUGUCUUCGUGGCCCUGAUCAACACAGUUUAACUGCAAAGAACAGGAAUGGAAUAAAAGUUUACUUGAAGGGAGGGAGAAGCGAUACAACAGUCUGACAUCUACCCUUGGUAGUUUAAUUUUGUGGCUUGAGACAUACCAAUUACGGAAUCAGGCUAUGGCUUCUACAAGCAUCAAUUUUACUGCAGUUCUCUAGAAUUUGGUCACUUGGGAAUGGCUACUUGUAACAGUGCAAGGAAGUACACGUGACAAGAGGGUUCUCCGAGAACGACGGGCGCUCCGCCGCCGUGCCUGUGUCAAGAUGCCUCGAGAAGGACGCCCAGAAACGGCCCGUCCGAGCCGGUGGUGUCCGCAGAGCCCGACGCGCACCUGCACACCGGGCAGCGCGGGUGGGCGCGAGGACGUCCCUUAGUCCUAAGCUCUGCGCUCCGGGGGACGAAGGCCUGGGCCCUCACAGCAGGAGCAGAGGGGGCCACCUAAUGCCGGACUCAGGUCAAGUCUGUCCCGGGCGCCCUGCCUCCACGGAUACCUGCUUAACUUCGAGCAGCCCAGCCCCACUACGUUUAAAAGUGUAUUUACGGUUGUCAAGGAGCACACCGAAAAGCUUGCUCCGCACCCCCAGAGCGCGCGAGGCCUCCCAGCCUGGAAACAGGCCCCUCCCAACGCAGCUGUCGCCGCCGCCCGCGGGCUCCUUUCACUUUCUCACGGCCAAGUCCCCCAGAGGGGCGCCGCUGCCGCCACCGCCGCUGCGCCCGCC